rnacentral:rRNA from 1 species
GACGAACGCUGGCGGCGUGCUUAACACAUGCAAGUCGAACGAAGUGGCGAACGGGUGAGUAACGCGUAAUCAACCUGCCCUUCAGAGGGGGUUAACAGUUGGAAACGACUGCUAAUACCGCAUACUGAUGCAGGGGAUUGCGUCUGAUUAGCUAGUUGGAGGGGUAACGGCGCACCAAGGCGAUGAUCAGUAGCCGGGCUAGGAGGGUGAACAGCCACAUUGGGACUGGGACACGGCCCAGACUCCUAAGGGAGGCAGCAGUGGGGAAUCUUCCGCAAUGGACGAAAGUCUGACGGAGCAACGCCGCGUGGGUGAUGACGGCCUUCGGGGUGUAAAGCUCUGUUAAUCGGGACGCGGUACCGGAAUAGAAAGCCACGGCUAACUACGUGCCAGCAGCCGCGGUAAUAC